rnacentral:rRNA from 1 species
GAUGAACGCUGGCGGCGUGCCUAAUACAUGCAAGUCGAGCGAACAGACGAGGAGCUUGCUCCUCUGAUAUUAGCGGCGGACGGGUGAGUAACACGUGGAUAACCUACCUAUAAGACUGGGAUAACUUCGGGAAACCGGAGCUAAUACCGGAUAAUAUUUUGAACCGCAUGGUUCAAAAGUGAAAGACGGUCUUGCUGUCACUUAUAGAUGGAUCCGCGCUGCAUUAGCUAGUUGGUAAGGUAACGGCUUACCAAGGCAACGAUGCAUAGCCGACCUGAGAGGGUGAUCGGCCACACUGGAACUGAGACACGGUCCAGAUUCCUACGGGAGGCAGCAGUAGGGAAUCUUCCGCAAUGGGCGAAAGCCUGACGGAGCAACGCCGCGUGAGUGAUGAAGGUCUUCGGAUCGUAAAACUCUGUUAUUAGGGAAGAACAUAUGUGUAAGUAACUGUGCACAUCUUGACGGUACCUAAUCAGAAAGCCACGGCUAACUACGUG